GAUGAACGCUGGCGGCGUGCUUAACACAUGCAAGUCGAACGAAGCGCCUUGGACAGAUUCUUCGGAUGAAGUUUUUGGUGACUGAGCGGCGGACGGGUGAGUAACGCGUGGGUAACCUGCCUCAUACAGGGGGAUAACAGUUAGAAAUGGCUGCUAAUACCGCAUAAGCGCACAGCAUCGCAUGAUGCCGUGUGAAAAACUCCGGUGGUAUGAGAUGGAACCC
rnacentral:rRNA from 1 species